GAUAGACUAUUAUUAUUCGUUCAGGCGCACGCGAGGACCUUUAAGAGGAUCCGACAGAGGACGCUUGAACUUCAAAUUGAACCUAUUGCCCUUGUUUGACUAGGUUCUGACAACUGAGGAAGACUUGAGAUCUACUUGUAUUUUAAGCAUGUAGUUUGAAUUAAACAAUGUAGCUUUUGCUUCGGGUUGCCACUUGAAGCUGGAAAAGUGUAAACCCUGGAUUUGUAUGUGGCUUGUAUGAAAUUUGUUACUUGGCUUAUAAGGAUGUAUUUGAAUUAUAUGUUUUGUUUCUAGGGUUGUAAUCGGGAAGGUAUUUUAAGAAUCGACGUUGGCUAUCUUAAGGCACUGUUAUCUCUGAAGUUAAUGUGAUUCUAGAAACCGGCCUAUUUGGAGGGAAACGAUGUUGUAAUAGAUUAGGUUAUACUUCGGAAGGACUUUUG